rnacentral:rRNA from 1 species
AUUGAACGCUGGCGGCAUGCCUUACACAUGCAAGUCGAACGGCAGGCAUGACGUGUAGCAAUGCACGUUGAUGGCGAGUGGCGAACGGGUGAGUAAUAUAUCGGAACGUGCCCUGUAGCGGGGGAUAACCUAUCGAAAGAUGGACUAAUACCGCGAUACGCUCUACGGAGGAAAGCGGGGGUACGCAAGACCUCGCACUAUAGGAGCGGCCGANAUCGGAUUAGCUAGUUGCGGGUAAAGCCACCAAGGCGACGAUCCGUAGCUGGUCUGAGAGGAUGAUCAGCCACACUGGAACUGAGACACGGUCCAGACUCCUACGGGAGCAGCAGUGGGAAUUUGGACAAUGGGCGCAAGCCUGAUCCAGCCAUGCCGCGUGAGUGAAGAG